rnacentral:lncRNA from 15 species
CAUCACCUAUAAAGCAAAUUAAUUUGUGUGUGCUCUGAUGCUGUCUGAGGAAACGCUCACAUCCCCAGUAAAGCCUGCAUCCCCCCAAGUGGUCAUCUGCUGCGAAUUACAGAGUUCCGCAAAAAAGUAGAGUUCAGGCGCAGAGCGUGCUCACACACACACACACACACACACACACACACACACACACUGAAGAAGCCCCUCCCCCGCAACUCGGCGACCCUGCCAAAAACAGAUGUGCACAAGUCUUGACGCACGAGAUCCAGAACUUUGCGCGUGCACGCAGCCACCGGGGGUCUGAGAUCUGGAUCGGAUCCCUGGUAUGGACAAAGCAGACAGGAAGAUUUCCUUCCCACAGAAUCCCAAGAGAACCCCGAAGUCAUGGAGUCCCUCGCAACUGGGUGCAGACAGACCAAACCAGAGUCACUCAUGAAACAAGCUUAACAGAACGCUUAACUUCAUAUUGUCAUUGGUUUUGAUAAGAUAUGAAAAAUGAUAAUUCAUAAAACUAGUGAACAGGGACCUGUGCUAGCCAUAGGACAUUAAAACUGAACAAUAAAGUAAGUAAAGCUACAAUCAACACAUCAACAGCCCAGUCUGCACUCUACAGUAGGAACGCCAUCAUCAUGCAGCUCAACUGUAAUUUACUAUUCUCUCAUUAACGCGCCUUGUGCUGCCGGGGCCAUAAGGAGCACAGAUGGUUCACAUUUGCAGAUGAGGAAUUCGGGUCGUGAAGUGUGUGUUAAGACUGACGAGGAGAGGGUGCCAAAUCUGAGUUAAAGAUCUCCAACUUGAAAGUGGGGAAAUAAAUGCAGGACGAGUGGAGCAUGUGGAGAUUUUGUGCAGAAUUCUGCACAGUGAGGAAUGAUACUCUGCAGUGUACAUGAAGGUUUAUGUUCUAGUUUAGUCUCAAAACCCUGCAGAGUUACCGCCAAGACAUUUGCACAUUUAUGGCACAUGAGGUAGAGUGCUCACCCAUUGACAUAUACACGGCCUAGAUCAGUGGUUCCCAUAGAGUCCCAACCUUUUUUUUACUGUUACCCCCCACAACCAGAUCAUCAGAUGAGCUCAACAGGCUAC